rnacentral:lncRNA from 1 species
UUUGAAUUUUUUUUUAGGACAGAACUUAGGUUCACCCUCUAGGGUGAACUUUUAAAUUCACCCCACCCUUUUGACACCAAUUAAAUUGACACAUAGAUUAUUAAUUAAAAAACAUUAAAUUAAAUAAAAAAUAGCUACAAAAAAUAAAAACGUUAAUUUUAACGACGCUAACGCUUCCAGCUAAACCUUAAACCCUAAAUCUUAAAUUCUAAACCCUAUACCCUAAAUUCUAAACCCAAAUCCAAAACCCUAAACCCAAAACCUAUACCCUAAACCCUAAUCCUAGACCAUAAACCCAAAUUAUAUACCCUAAACCCAAAAACUAGACUAUAAACCUAAAAUUUAUACCCUAAACCCAAGUCGUAGACCCUAAACCCAAACCGUAAAUCUUAAACCCAAAUUAUAUACCCUAAACCCAAAACCUUAACCAUAAGUCCAAACGGUAAAUCCUAAACCCAAACCGUAAAUCUUAAACUCAAAACCUAUACCCUAAACUCAAAUCCUAGACCUAAAACCCAAACGGUAAACCCUAAACCCAAACGCCAAACUUAGAUGCUAUAGGGUUUGGGUUAAGGUUUAAGGUUUGGGUUUAGGGUUUAAGACUUGAGUUUAGGGUAUAGGAUUUAGGUUUAGAGUCUAUUUUUUUGGUUUAAGGUAUAUAAUUUGGGUUUAGGGUCUAGGAUUAGGGUUUAGGGUAUAGGGUUUGGGUUUAGGGGUUUGAAUUUGGAUUUAGAAUUUAGGGUAUAGAGUUUAGAAUUUAAGAUUUAGGGUUUCGCUGGAAGCGUUAACGUCGUUAAAAUUAACGUUUUUAUUUAAUUUAAUAUUUUUAAUUAAUAAUCUAUGUGUCACUUUGAUUGGUCCUAAAGAGUGGGGUGAAUUUAAAGGUAAACCCAAAACCUAUACCCUAAACCCUAAUCCUAGACCAUAAACCCAAAUUAUAUACCCUAAACCCAAAAACUAGACUAUAAACCUAAAAUUUAUACCCUAAACCCAAGUCGUAGACCCUAAACCCAAACCGUAAAUCUUAAACCCAAAUUAUAUACCCUAAACCCAAAACCUUAACCAUAAGUCCAAACGGUAAAUCCUAAACCCAAACCGUAAAUCUUAAACUCAAAACC